rnacentral:rRNA from 1 species
GGGAUAUUGGUCAAUGGGGGAAACCCUGAUGCAGCAACGCCGCGUGAAGGAAGACGGUUUUCGGAUUGUAAACUUCUUUUCUUAGUGAAGAAGAAAGUGACGGUAGCUAAGGAAUAAGCAUCGGCUGACUACGUGCCAGCAGCCGCGGUGAUACGUAGGGUGCGAGCGUUAUCCGGAAUUACUGGGUGUAAAGGGAGCGCAGGCGGGACUGCAAGUUGGAUGUGAAAUGCCGCAGCUUAACUGCGGCGCUGCAUCCAAAACUGUAGUUCUUGAGUGGAGUAGAGGCAAGCGGAAUUCCGAGUGUAGCGGUGAAAUGCGUAGAUAUUCGGAGGAACACCAGUGGCGAAGGCGGCUUGCUGGGCUCUAACUGACGCUGAGGCUCGAAAGUGUGGGGAGCAAACA